CUCUCUCUCCUCGCCGUGAGCAGCCGCGAGUGGUGGUGGUAGCUGUGUGGUGUCGUCGAUCUCAGAUCUCACCUCUCUUGCAUCUCAGAUCCAUCCAGAUCUAGGCUAAGAACUAUAAGUGGAAAUGUCAGCGGUAAGAAAGGAAACGCACCUGAAACUCAUGGGACCAGAAACGGGACACACGGAGAUGUCGGGAAAGUAGACAUGUGUGUCCUAAACCCCGCGCCCAGGAACCCCGGUUGGAAAUGGGGAAGGGGCGGGUGUUUCAGAAACGGCUUACAACAGAUUUGCAGCAUGGCACAAGAAGUACCGUUAAGGAUGGAUCCGAUACAACGGCUCAGGUUAUGCAGUCAGACGUGAAUCUUCGUAAGGUAGAUAAAAUUAUUGGCUAUAGAAUUAUCUGUAAUAUUUCUACGAGUUUGUAAUAACAUAAUAUAUUUAGCGUUAAAAAAACCUUUAUCAACUAGUCAUGUUCAUAAUUUAAUAGAAUAAAUUCUUUUUUUUUUUAUGUCAUACUCUUAAUUAGUGAAACUGGUUAUGGAUAAAUUUGAACGUAUGCUUGGGGAUCGAUAAGCAAAAAGAAAACAACAAUAAGAAAAUGUUAGUUUAAGCAAAAAAGAAAAAGUCAAUGUCCAAAAGAAAAUUCAGGUAUAUUUUUGGCUAAUCAAUUAAAAAUAAUCAUAAAUAGUAAGUCUCGACCAUGUGAUUACACAGACGAAACGAGUAACGACCUGUUCUCCUGAUCACUACGACAAGGGGAUAUACAAACUCAACGAUCUGUUUGACUCGUGCUGCAUGCGUGGGGUCAGGGGAUAUACAAACUCAACGAUCUGUUUGACUGUUUGCGACUUCAAUUAAAUUGUCAAUGAAAUGACGUCAUGGCUUGUACUAACUCCAUAAUUUAUUAUUAUUAUUUCAAAUAAAUUAGAAUGAUUGUUCAUUCAAUUCGUUUGACAAAAAAAAAAAGAUUGUUCAUUCAAUUUUAUCAAUAAAAUCUAUGUAAGAAAAUAAAUUUUAAUUU